ensembl:snRNA U6 U6 spliceosomal RNA
GUGCUUGCUUUGGCAGCACAUAUACUAAAAUUGGAAUUAUACAGAGAAGAUUGCCAUGGCCCCUGAGCAAGGAUGACAUGCAAAUUCAUGAAGCAUUUCGUAUUUUU